rnacentral:rRNA from 1 species
UACGUAGGGGUGCAAGCGUUUAAUCGGAAUUACUGGGCGUAAAGCGUGCGCAGGCGGUUUUGUAAGUUUGUCGUGAAAGCCCCGGGCUCAACCUGGGAAUUGCGAUGAAGACUGCAAGGCUUGAAUCUGGCAGAGGGGGGUAGGAAUUCCACGUGUAGCAGGUGAAAUGCGUAGAGAUGUGGAGGAACACCGAUGGCGAAGGCAGCCCCCUGGGUCAAGAUUGACGCU